AGUGAACGCUGGCGGUAGGCCUAACACAUGCAAGUCGAACGGCAGCACAGUAAGAGCUUGCUCUUACGGGUGGCGAGUGGCGGACGGGUGAGGAAUACAUCGGAAUCUACUUUUUCGUGGGGGAUAACGUAGGGAAACUUACGCUAAUACCGCAUACGACCUACGGGUGAAAGCAGGGGAUCUUCGGACCUUGCGCGAUUGAAUGAGCCGAUGUCGGAUUAGCUAGUUGGCGGGGUAAAGGCCCACCAAGGCGACGAUCCGUAGCUGGUCUGAGAGGAUGAUCCGCCACACUGGAACUGGGACACGGUCCAGACUCCUACGGGAGGCAGCAGUGGGGAAUAUUGGACAAUGGGCGCAAGCCUGAUCCAGCCAUACCGCGUGGGUGAAGAAGGCCUUCGGGUUGUAAAGCCCUUUUGUUGGGAAAGAAAAGCAGCAGGUUAAUACCCCGCUGUUCUGACGGUACCCAAAGAAUAAGCACCGGCUAACUUCGUG
rnacentral:rRNA from 1 species